UACAGAGGGGGCAAGCGUUGUUCGGAAUUACUGGGCGUAAAGGGCGCGUAGGCGGCCUUCUAAGUCGAACGUGAAAUCCUCGGGCUCAACCCGGGAACUGCGUCCGAUACUGGGGGGCUUGAAUCCGGGAGAGGGAUGUGGAAUUCCAGGUGUAGCGGUGAAAUGCGUAGAUAUCUGGAGGAACACCGGUGGCGAAGGCGGCAUCCUGGACCGGUAUUGACGCUGAGGCGCGAAAGCUAGGGGAGCAAACGGG
rnacentral:rRNA from 1 species